rnacentral:rRNA from 1 species
UACGGGGGGGGGCAAGCGUUGUUCGGAAUUACUGGGCGUAAAGGGCUCGUAGGUGGCCAACUAAGUCAGACGUGAAAUCCCUCAGCUUAACUGGGGAACUGCGUCUGAUACUGGAUGGCUUGAGUUUGGGAGAGGGAUGCGGAAUUCCAGGUGUAGCGGUGAAAUGCGUAGAGAUGUGGAGGAAUACCGAUGGCGAAGGCAGCCCCCUGGGAUAACACUGACGCUCAUGCACGAAAGCGUGGGGAGCAAACAGG